AAAAGGGCAGAACACGACAUCUAUUCUUUUUGUACCAAGAAGGUGUAAUGUCAUGGCUCAUAACUUGGCAAAGGUAGCUUUAGAUCGUGUAGACCCUGUCCUUUGGAUAGGGAUGGCAAUGGGCAACGCCGCAGCGGGUUUGCCAUUAUUAAACACAAAUCCGCACAAAAUUUAAAUUAUUAAACUCACCCGCAACCCGCAGCGGGUUUUAAUUUUUUUACAAAAAUCCACCCGCAGCGGGUUUUAACAAUUACCAAACCCGCAAUGGUAUCCAGCGGAUUUUUUGCGGGUUUCCGUAUUUAAAAUCACAAAUGUUUAAUAUAUAAAUUUAUAAUAAUAACCUCAAAUUUCAUAUAACAUACUCAAUUUUAUAUUUAAACAAUGUAAAUGAAAAAUUAAAAUUUUCACAUCAAUUCAACACAAAUUCUCAAAUUUAAGUAUAAAUUACACAAAUCCAUUUAAAAAACACAAAUUAGUAUCUAAAAAUAAUAAUUAUAUUUCAUAUUAUCAUUUAAAACAAGCAAAAUAAUAAUUAUAUUUCAUAUUAUCAUUUAAAACAAGCUCCAAGAGAAGAUAUUCAUUUCAUUCACCACCAUAAGCACCCAUCCAACACAAUGCCUAUAAUAAUAAUUAAAAUUAAUAUUUUCAAAUACUAAUUCGAAGGAAAAUGCCUUUAGUUUUCUUUAGAUUAUGACUUUAGAAUAGGAGAUAGGCCACAUACACAUAUACACAAUUUUGAGCCUUUGGCUAUUUGGUAAUUUGAUUAAUGACCUUAUUUUAUUUAUACAUUUUUAGAUUAAAAUUAAAUUAAAAAUAUUUGAAAAAAAUAUUGCGGGUUUGGUGGAUAUCCAUGUGGAUAUUCACCGGAUAUAAGGUUAAUACCAAACCCACCCGCAUCCAUAUGCGGGUUUUAAUUUAUAAUACUAAACUCACCCGCAAUGGAUAAAAUUACCCACAACGGACGGGUUUUGGCAGGUGAAUUUGGAUGAAUUUGCGGGUUUGCUGGUACAAUUACCAUCCCUACCUUUGGAUAGGAAACUGCCCAAUUCCCCGCUGUGGAUGUUAUUCUCCAAUUUUAAUCAAUGGAAAGGCCUACUUUCUCUAAAAAAAAAAAAAAAUGAACCAUCAACUAUCUAAACGUCGUAAUUCAAAAACCCAUCUAAGAUGUCAAAAAUAAAUAAAAAUUCCAAGAAGUACAAUCAUGAGAAGAAAAAUACAUAAAAUAAAAGAAUACAAGAAAAAGCAGAGGAUUUGAAUGGGUCAUGGACUUGCAUUAGCUGUAGUGCUAUCACUAUCAAAAAAUAACCCAUAUGCCACUAUGUGGAAUCCACCAUUUCUUUUCAUAUCUUUCUUUUUAUUUUUAUUUUUUCAAGUUUUUUAUUCAAUUCAUAUCCCCAUACAUUUAUGCUUCUCUAGACCUUCACGUCAUUGAUUUCUGAACUCACGUCUGCUUCACGUCAUUGAUCUUUGUUGCAUACGUAAAUUUGUGCUAAGAUUAAAUUUAAUUUAUGGCAACUGGGCAUGUGAAGAAACAACUGUUUGAGAAGUUGAAGUUGAGGAAAAUAAAAGACAGACACAGAGAGAAACUGUUUGUGAAAAUGCCUUUCUUACUCAGCUGGGGAACAACGCCCAGCUUUCUAGACAAACAGGCCCCAUGCCCACCGUCACACCAGUGAGCAAAGGCAUUGGUCUUAUUGGCUGGCUUGAGCAGAAUGCGCAAAGAAAGGCUCUUUCAUUCUUUACAUUUUAUACAGUUAAAAGGUUAUACUAAAUCAAAGGACUCGUGGCAUGGACAGGUCAAACAAGGCAAUCGCAGCAAAAGAUUCUAAUUGAGUGAAUAUCUGCUGGAAUUUUACAAGAAAAAGUUCUGUCUCCUCACACUAUAAUACUGUUUACUGGAUGAGGACACACUACAAAAAGGUAAAAUAUCAUUAUUAGUUACUGUAUUUGAAAGCAAAAUGGAACACCCAAAUCCAAAACAUUAAUAUAUCCUUUAAAAAAAAUUUAAUAUAUAUAUGGGUCCAGUCGUAAUUAUGGUAUGGUACCGUGUUCAGUCAUUAGAUUC
rnacentral:lncRNA from 1 species